AAAUUGCUAUUCCUAUUCACCGCCCUUUAUGGUUUCUGGGAGUUUCUGAAAUGGUGUUGUGGGCGACGUAGUUCUUCACGGUUUAAAAGUUAUGAGGUUUCCAAGUUUACACUCGUUUUAGGCAGAAAAAAAAAUUAAGAGGGGUGCAACACGAGGACAUCCCGGGAGGUCACCCAUCCUAGUACUACUCUUGCCCAAGAACCCUUAACUGCGGAGUUCUAAUGGGAUCCGGUGCAUUAGUGCUGGUAUGAUCGCACCCUUUCUGACUGUUUUUUUUCUAGCGGGAUAGUGCAUUGAGGUUAAAUGCGUUAAGAAAGCAUCAAAAACAACCUGAGAAUCCGAUUGGGAUCCUUUUAUACGUCCCUUACCUUUCUGUAGCCCGUUACGCCUAUUCACCGCCCUUUAUGGUUUCUGGGCGUUUCCGAAAUGGUGCUAUGGGCGACGUAGUUCCUCACGGUUCAAAAGUUAUGAGGUUUCCAAGUUUAGGCUCGUUUUAGGCCGAAAAAAAAAAUAAAAAUGGGUGCAACACUAGGACUUCCCGGGAGGACACCCAUCCUAGUACUACUCUCGCCCAAGCACGCUUAACUGCGUUGUUCUAAUGGGAUCCGGUGCAUUAGUGCUGGUAUGUUCGCACCCGUUAGUACAUCACUCGUGUUUCCAUAUAUCAUUUGUCUCGGCCAAUCUAAGUGUAAGGCCGUAAAAAAAAAAAUGGUUGCAACACGAGAACUUUUCGGGAGGAAACCCAUCCUAGUACUACUCUCGCCCAAGCACGCUCAACUGCGGAGUUCUAAUGGGAUCCGGUGCAUUAGUGCUGGUAUGAUCGCACCCGUUAGUACAUCACUCGCGUUUCCAUAUAUCAUUUGUCUCGGCCAAUCCAAGUGUAAGGCCGUGGGGCCCACAUGAUUUUCUUGCCGUUUUGUUUCGAGCGAAAAAGUGCAUCGAGGUUAACGGCGUUAAGAAAGCAUCAAAAACACCUUGAGAAUCCGCUUUCGAUCUUUUUUACGUGCCAUAACUUUCCGCAGCCCGUUUGAGGGUCAAAACGGCUGAAUUUGAGCCCGAAAAAUUGCGCCCCCUAUUCACCGCCCAUUAUGGUUUCUGGGGCUUUCCGAAAUGGUGCUAUGGGCGACGUAGUUCCUCACGGUUCAAAAGUUAUGAGGUUUCCAAGUUUAAACUCGUUUUAGGCUAAAAAAAAAUUAAAAAAUAAAAAGGGGUGCAACACGAGGACUUCCCGGGAGGUCACCCAUCCUAGUACUACUCUCGCCCAAGCACGCUUAACUGCGGAGUUCUGAUGGGAUCCGGUGCAUUAGUGCUGGUAUGAUCGCACCCGUCAGUACAUCACUCUCGUUUCUAUAUAUCCUUUUCCCGGCCAAUCCAAGUGUAAGGCCGUGGGGCCCACAUGAUUUUCUUGCCGUUUUGUUUCGAGCGAAAAAGUGCAUCGAGGUUAACGGCGUUAAGAAAGCAUCAAAAACACCUUGAGAAUCCGCUUUCGAUCUUUUUUACGUGCCAUAACUUUCCGCAGCCCGUUUGAGGGUCAAAACGGCUGAAUUUGAGCCCGAAAAAUUGCGCCCCCUAUUCACCGCCCAUUAUGGUUUCUGGGGCUUUCCGAAAUGGUGCUAUGGGCGACGUAGUUCCUCACGGUUCAAAAGUUAUGAGGUUUCCAAGUUUAAACUCGUUUUAGGCUAAAAAAAAAUUAAAAAAUAAAAAGGGGUGCAACACGAGGACUUCCCGGGAGGUCACCCAUCCUAGUACUACUCUCGCCCAAGCACGCUUAACUGCGGAGUUCUGAUGGGAUCCGGUGCAUUAGUGCUGGUAUGAUCGCACCCGUCAGUACAUCACUCUCGUUUCUAUAUAUCCUUUUCCCGGCCAAUCCAAGUGUAAGGCCGUGGGGCCCACAUGAUUUUCUUGCCGUUUUGUUUCGAGCGAAAAAGUGCAUCGAGGUUAACGGCGUUAAGAAAGCAUCAAAAACACCUUGAGAAUCCGCUUUCGAUCUUUUUUACGUGCCAUAACUUUCCGCAGCCCGUUUGAGGGUCAAAACGGCUGAAUUUGAGCCCGAAAAAUUGCGCCCCCUAUUCACCGCCCAUUAUGGUUUCUGGGGCUUUCCGAAAUGGUGCUAUGGGCGACGUAGUUCCUCACGGUUCAAAAGUUAUGAGGUUUCCAAGUUUAAACUCGUUUUAGGCUAAAAAAAAAUUAAAAAAUAAAAAGGGGUGCAACACGAGGACUUCCCGGGAGGUCACCCAUCCUAGUACUACUCUCGCCCAAGCACGCUUAACUGCGGAGUUCUGAUGGGAUCCGGUGCAUUAGUGCUGGUAUGAUCGCACCCGUCAGUACAUCACUCUCGUUUCUAUAUAUCAUUUUCCCGGCCAAUCCAAGUGUAAGGCCGUGGGGCCCACAUGAUUUUCUUGCCGUUUUGUUUCGAGCGAAAAAGUGCAUCGAGGUUAACGGCGUUAAGAAAGCAUCAAAAACACCUUGAGAAUCCGCUUUC
rnacentral:lncRNA from 1 species